rnacentral:misc_RNA from 1 species
UUUCAUCACAAGAGGACUUUUUAGGAGAUGCUAUCUGGUGAGCAAUAGGUCGGAAAAGUGUGAGUGUGAGUGUGAGUGUGAGUGUGAGUGUGAGUGUAAGUAUUCGUACUUGUACCUUCUACACUCGUACUCUACCCGUGGUACAAUCUGUUGAUCCGUUGAGCCACUUGAACCUGCAGUUUACACACUACAAAACCCAGUCUCCUCUGUCUGGAAGUCAUCUCAAGUGCAUUGCAUGGCCAUCAAGUGUCACCUAUUCGACCCACAUUGACAGCGACAGGACGCUACAAGUAGGAACUCUGACGGGUGUCAUCGGAUCCGGUGGGAUUUGGUGACCGACAGAUGCACUCUGGCUCCCCUUUUAGUCCAAUACGAUGAAAAGUCGGAGAGUUUCUUCCACGGCUUUGGCACGUGAAAAGAAAAUGACAGAAAUGUGACAGAAAGGUGACAGCUUGGCUACUUGUAGAGAGUAGUUGAGGAAAAGUCGGUUAAUUGGUUGGGGAGGGGUUUCAAUGGUUCGAUUUGGUUGUGCCGGGCGGAUGGGUGGAGGUACGUAUAGUCAGUGAUCGUACGGUAUGUUCUCUCACUCGUACUAUACGACCAGAUGUUAUUGGGGUGAUUGACGAGAGAUCCGCUUUGAGCAGCUGUAUGAAGUGACAUAUUGUGCUCAUCUGCUCAAGACUGUCCGGGCUGACACACAUGUCGUGGAUCAUCUAUUGACGGCUCCGCAGAAAAUGUAGGAGAGGUGUCAGAAAGCCACCAGGGGAUCAAAGACGUUCAGAAACAAACAAAACAUGACUCGAGAACAAAAAAUCGAAAAACAAAUAGUGACUCAUAGUACUCGGAGUAUGUACUGUAUGUACUGUAUCCAACAAAGAUCAUAGAUCGGUCAACACUGUCGCCCGAAAGUUGCACCAUGUCAGAUCCCUCAAACUCCCACAGACAGUUUAUAGCCACAAGUCCUCUGAAAGAGUGCUCAUAUGCUAUUCUUCCAACAGUCGUCACUCACAUUCUCUUUCAAUUGACCUUUUAAGUCAUACUCCACAUCUGACAAAGCUGUGUAUGACAGUGGGGAGUGAGUACCUGCCGCAGUUCUAUCUUGCUCUGAAGAAAAACGUCGAGCUGCAACAAGUUAGAUUUCGAUUUUCUUUUAGCCCCUUCUUUCACACGCGGGGAUUCAUUUCCCCUUUAGAAAAGUAGCUGCUGAAUUUGGUCAACCUGAUGGCGUCUCAGACGAAUCCUCCACUAGGAUGCGGAGACUCUCGUGAUGAGCCUCUCUGGUAGAGAGAAGAGUCUGGUUAUGGGAACACCUCCCGGAAAGUGAUAUGUAAGUCGUACAUGUGUUUGUUAUAUAAAAUUUCACUUUAUCCAACAA